GAACGCACCUCUGGUGUACCAGUUAUCGUGCCAACGGUAAACGCUGGGUAGCCAUGUGCGGAGUGGAUAACCGCUGAAAGCAUCUAAGUGGGAAGCCCACCUCAAGAUGAGUGUUCCCAUGGGGUAACCCAGUAAGGUCACGGGGAGAACACCCGUUGAUAGGCUCUAUGUGGAAGUCCAGUAAUGGAUGCAGCAGAGGAGUACUAAUAGACCGAGGGCUUGACCAA
rnacentral:rRNA from 1 species